UACAGAGGUGGCAAGCGUUGUUCGGAAUUACUGGGCGUAAAGGGCUCGUAGGUGGCCAACUAAGUCAGACGUGAAAUCCCUCGGCUUAACCAGGGAACUGCAUCUGAUACUGGAUGGCUGGAGAUUGGGAGAGGGAUGCGGAAUUCCAGGUGUAGCGGUGAAAUGCGUAGAUAUCUGGAGGAACACCGGUGGCGAAGGCGGCAUCCUGGACCAACACUGACGCUGAGGAGCGAAAGCCAGGGGAGCAAACGGG
rnacentral:rRNA from 1 species